rnacentral:misc_RNA from 1 species
CACCAAUCAAGCCUGGCUUGGUAUUGGGCCACGGGAGCAACCCGGGCCUCAAAGUCUGCCGGCUGGAAAGCUCUGAUCUCAGCGUCGUGGUUAAUCAAUUCGCGAGGAAAGGGGCGGUCCACGCCGUGAAAUUCAUCACAGG